CCACUGACCUGGUCGGCCGUAGACUGUAAUCCAUGAGAAAGACGUGAAGGAGGGAGAGGUGCCCUCUGGAGCAGGCGCAGUGCACGGAUCAACCUUCCUGAAGAUUGUGGGGAAGGAGCUGCAGAUGGAAGACGAGGCAAUUAGCUGAGCUGGAACAUAUUCACUGACAGCCCUCCGUGGGCCAGAAACUUCCUCCUCCAGGCAUCUUUUGAAGUAGGUCUGCUUAUUUCCUUAUUAUAGACGACGACACUGAGGCACAGAAAAGUUGUGUGCUUGCCCAAGGUCACACAGCUAAUAAGUGGCAAAGCCAAGAUCUAAACUGAGUUCUGAUUCAUCCCUUUUUUAUAUGCUGGGGAGGAAUGACUCAUUCUUUGGGAGCUGUAGGUAUCUGAUGGAGCCAACAGCAGAUGCCAGGCAACAGGGACCACUGCAUUUCCAUGGACCUCUUACUAUGCACAGCUCCUCUAGUCUCUGCCCAGGGGCUGCCACCUCUGUCAAAGUGUGUGUCUCUCUCUCCCUUAACAGUGAGAAGGCCUCCAUCGAGAAAAUCAAGUGGCAAAUCCUCACUUUCAUUCUCUCUCAAACAACUCCUUGUGUUCCACACCCCCAGUUCCAGCUAGCCACACUCAAGCUGAGCUGUUAUCAGCCAUGAAAAAUCAACAGCAAUAUUUAUCCCAGGCAAUAAAAUGACUGCAAAAAAAGUUCAUCUUUGCACUGGGGGUCAGCUAAGGGGCCAAACUAAAACAAUCAACUCAAGUUUGCCAAAUCCCAUCUCGGAUAUGGAGGGCUUCCCUGGUGGCUCAGACAGUAAAAAAUCUGCCUGCAAUGCAGGAGACCUGGGUCAAUCCCCAGGUUGGGAAGAUCCCCUGGAGGAGGAAAUGGCAACCAACCCUUGUAUUCUUGCCUGGGAAAUCCCAUGGACAGAGGAGCCUGGUGGGCUACAAUCCAUGGGGUUGCAAACAGUCAGAUACAACUGAAGCAACUAACCCACCUCAGAUAUAGCUCUCAGGCCCCUGGGUCAACAGCUAACACGAGGGUGGGGAGGAGGAAAAUGCCCCAGGAACCUUGGUCUCCCCUGCCUGCAGCACCCUCUACAGGGUUAGGCCGCUGGAGGAGGCCCAGCCUGAUGCAGAGGCAUAGCUGGGAGUCCUGGGAAUAUGAGUUGGAACAUGGAUCCAAGAAAGCACUCGAGAGCAAAUUCCUGUACCCCAGGGGAGCCUCAAGAAAUGUCAGGAAUUGGAAGAGAGGAAUGCAUGCCUCUGGGUGCUCAGGUUAAUCUGGAGCAGAAC
ensembl:lncRNA